rnacentral:rRNA from 1 species
UAUGCUUUUCCUAAAGAUUAAGCCAUGCAUGCCUAAGACUAUGAGGAAGCAAUUCUCUCUGAAUCUGCGAACGGCUCCGCAAACCGGUUGUAAACCAUAGCAGUGUUUCGCCCGGCUUCAGUAAUGGGGUCGGGCAUUAUAUGGAUAACCGUGGUAAUUUUGAGGCUAAUACAUGACACACUAACCUGGCGGGCUGGGGUAACCCGGCUUGCUGGGGGACGUGCGAAAUUAGCAAUGCUAUAAUGAACAUUGGGAAUGAGCGCACGUUCAGACCGCCAUUUAAACGGGUGAGGGGGGGCUUCGGCUUCCUCGAUCCCGGGCGGCCUCUGCAACGGGCUUCUGACCUAUCAAUUAGAUGGCAGUGUAAGGGAUAUGCUAUGGUAACAAUGGGUACAGAGGAUUAGGGUUCGAUCCUGGAGAGUGGGCCUGAGAGAUUGCUCAUACUUCUAAGGAAGGCAGCAGGCGCGCAACGUUCCCCUUGGGCAAAGCUCGAGGGCGUUAUGGGAAAUAUGAAUGCUUGCCUAUAUGGUGGGCAAUUCAAAUGGGUUUGUCGUAAACAGGCUCUCGAGUAACAAUUAGAGGA